rnacentral:rRNA from 1 species
AUGCACGCUGGCGGCGUGCCUAAUACAUGCCAGUCGCGCGAACAGACGAGGAGCUUGCUCCUCUGACGUUAGCGGCGGACGGGUGAGUAACACGUGGAUAACCUACCUAUAAGACUGGGAUAACUUCGGGAAACCGGAGCUAAUACCGGAUAAUAUAUUGAACCGCAUGGUUCAAUAGUGAAAGACGGUUUUGCUGUCACUUAUAGAUGGAUCCGCGCCGCAUUAGCUAGUUGGCAAGGUAACGGCUUACCAAGGCAACGAUGCGUAGCCGACCUGAGAGGGUGAUCGGCCACACUGGAACUGAGACACGGUCCAGACUCCUACGGGAGGCAGCAGUAGGGAAUCUUCCGCAAUGGGCGAAAGCUUGACGGAGCAACGCCGCGUGAGUGAUGAAGGUCUUCGGAUCGUAAAACUCUGUUAUUAGGGAAGAACAAAUGUGUAAGUAACUAUGCACGUCUUGACGGUACCUAAUCAGAAAGCCACGGCUAACUACGUG